rnacentral:rRNA from 1 species
CUGGGAUUAGAUACCCCACUAUAUCUUUCCAUAAAAUAAAAACACCAGAGAACUAUAAUUUUUCCUUUAAAACCAAAAAUUUAAACUCAAAGAACUUGGCGGUAUUCUAAACCUUCUUGGAGGAGCCUGUUGUUCAAUCGAUAACCCACGAGAAACCUCACCAGUUUUUGAUCUCAGCCCGUAUACCAUCGUCGUCAGCCUACCUUAAAGAACGUAAGCAAAAAGAAAACAUCUCCCAACGUCAGAUCAAGGUGCAGCCUAUAAACUGGGAUACAAUGUGCUACCUUAUUUUCCAACUGAGGACUUAAGAAAUAAAUAUCUUAAUAAAAAAGGAUUCAAAAGUAAUUAAUUAAAUAAACAAAAAAUGAAAAAAGCUCUAGAAUGUGCACACACCGCCCG